rnacentral:rRNA from 1 species
UUAUGGCUCAGGAUGAACGCUAGCUACAGGCUAACACAUGCAAGUCGAGGGGCAGCAUUUGAAAGCUUGCUUCAAAGAUGGCGACCGGCGCACGGGUGAGUAACGCGUAUCCAACCUUCCCCUUAGUAGGGCAUAGCCCGGUGAAAAUCGGAUUAAUACCCUAUGUUCUUCGUAGAGGACAUCUGAAAUGAAGCAAAGGUUCACCGCUAAGGGAUGGGGAUGCGUCUGAUUAGGUAGUAGGCGGGGUAACGGCCCACCUAGCCGACGAUCAGUAGGGGUUCUGAGAGGAAGGUCCCCCACAUUGGAACUGAGACACGGUCCAAACUCCUACGGGAGGCAGCAGUGAGGAAUAUUGGUCAAUGGGCGAGAGCCUGAACCAGCCAAGUAGCGUGCCAGGAUGACGGCCCUAUGGGUUGUAAACUGCUUUUAUAUGGGGAUAAAGUGAGCCACGUGUGGCUUUUUGUAGGUACCAUAUGAAUAAGGACCGGCUAAUUCCGUGCCAGCCGCAGC